GAAGGAAUUGGGCAACACUGUUUUUGUGAGAUUAAAGUUAUAUCGUGGCUCCAUAAAGUCUUCAUAAAUGGCCAGUUUCGGUGAAGAGCAGUAGUACCAUGUUUGUGAGCAGAGCGGUGGCCGUGUGCAGGUCUCGUUGUUGCAGACUGGAGUAAACCUGGCCGAGCCCCUCCCUCCUCAGAGCCGCCAGUCUGUGCUUCGAUUGGCCCCUGCGCCUCAGCACUUCCUGCGCUCGAGGAAUCUGAUUGGUCAAGAUAGAGGUACGGACGACUUCCUGUAAAAGUGAAUAAAUAUAUGAUUAUUAGUAACAACAUAAACAGAGCCAGAGCGUGAUUUGAACCUCCAAAGUUCAGAUAAAGGACGACUGCUCCAUUAGCCAUUAGCCCCACAGAUAAAACUUAAUGGGGCGUCACCUGUACAGACAGCUGGUCCCACUGGUCUCCUGUUCCCUCCUCACUCCUGGAGGCGCCGGAGCCAGAGGAGGAGUCGCUCUUCACGGACCAGGGGAACCUCUUCAUGAAGCACCUCAGCUGAGUCAGCAGGGCUCUGAUCUGGGAGUGGAGGAAGUUCAGGGUGAUGUUGAGCAGUUGUUCAGAAAACUGUCGGCUCUGGGCCUCACUGUUGGAGUCUCUGACCGCCGAACACAGCAGGUCCAAGGCCGGGCACAACUGCUGCACACCUGCAUCAAUCAUAGAGGUAAUGAAAAUAAAUUACUCGGUAGAUAAAUAUGAAAAUGGUUCACUAUCAAAGAAUAUCUCAAACAGGCAGUGGCUUACUUUCCGUGAGGCUGAGACCGGACUCGGUUUGCUGCUCAGAUGAGCUCAGGACAUUUUCUUUGCUCUUCAGGUAAAAGUCCACAGUGUCGAGCUGUCGGUUCUUCAGCCCUGCCUUUGACACAACAAACAGUAGUUCUACAGUUCUACAAAAAAAGUUGAAAAUUGAUUACCAUGGCACUAACAAAGAUGGAGGAGAUGCCCUACCUGCAGGGAGUGGAUGGGGAUGGAGCAGCGCCCCCAGUUGUUCAGAUUACAAACUGAGUCCACUGUGGCUGCGCUGCCGAACAACAUCAACCUGGUCAGUAAGUCCUGCUGCGAAACAGAGAAAAGGACCUGGAACAGACCAGAACCUGGACAAAACAAAUAAUAAUGACUUCAACAUUUUUCUGUGAUUUUUUUAUUAUGUUAUAGAAAGUGUGCACUUUCUAUAUUAUUGAUAUUGGCGGCUGUGUCCAGUGAAUAGGAUUUGAUGUGUGUGUGUUUUACAAGCUGUGCUUCAAGUAUCACUAGACAAAACAUUUCAUCAGCCUCACAGCAUAACAAGUAGUCAUUUUUUGGUUAUUUUGAGAUCUCUCGAAACACUGUUAUAAUAAAGGGCUCGGUAUUGUUAAAUUGUUUACGUACUUGAAAGAUACUGGCGCCUGAACAAUGCU
rnacentral:lncRNA from 1 species